rnacentral:rRNA from 1 species
GAUGAACGCUGGCGGCGUGCCUAAUACAUGCAAGUCGAGCGAACAGACGAGGAGCUUGCUGCUCUGACGUUAGCGGCGGACGGGUGAGUAACACGUGGAUAACCUACCUAUAAGACUGGGAUAACUUCGGGAAACCGGAGCUAAUACCGGAUAAUAUAUUGAACAGCAUGGUUCACUAGUGAAAGACGGUUUUGCUGUACCUUAUAGCUGGAUCCGCGCCGCAUUAGCUAGUUGGUAAGGUAACGGCUUACCAAGGCGACGAUGCGUAGCCGACCUGAGAGGGUGAUCGGCCACACUGGAACUGAGACACGGUCCAGACUCCUACGGGAGGCAGCAGUAGGGAAUCUUCCGCAAUGGGCGAAAGCCUGACGGAGCAACGCCGCGUGAGUGAUGAAGGUCUUCGGAUCGUAAAACUCUGUUAUUAGGGAAGAACAAAUGUGUAAGUAACGAUGCACGUCUUGACGGUACCUAAUCAGAAAGCCACGGCUAACUACGUG